CUGUCUUUAAUUUUUGCCAAUUUAAUUACCAAGUGUCUCAGCAUGUUUCUUCUUGGAUUUAUCCUGUCUGCGACUCUUUGCACUUCUUCAACUUGGUUGGCUAAUUCCUUUCCCAUGUUAGGGAACUUUUCAUCUGUAAUCUCUUCUAAAAUUUUCUCGGGUCCUUUCUCUCUCUCUUCUCCUUUGGGGACCCCUUUAAUGCAAAUGUUUGUGCGUUUAAUAUUGUACCAGAAGUCUCUUAGGCUGUCUUCAUUUCUUUUCAUUAUUCUUCCUUUAUUCUGUUCUGCAAUAGUUAUUUC